GAGCCACCCAGGCACCCCUGGAAAUGUUUUUUAAAAGGCAUGCAGAAAAGUUGAAAAGUUUGCUGUUCUGAAUGUCCACGUGCUCGCCAGUAUGGAUGGAUAGAUGUGAGAGAGCCAGUAGAGCAAAAUGUUGACAACUGGGUCAUAUGUUAGCAGGAAGAUUCUCAGGUCAGCUUUGGCUCUGCACCGUGAUCAUUUACAGUAGAAACCAAAGCCCCUUCUGGGGACAUGCUUCUUUCAGAACGUGAGUGAUGGUGGAAUCAGGCAGUGCUUAGAAGUGGCACGGCGGCCUACAGUCACAUUUCAUCG